rnacentral:tRNA from 1 species
AGAAAAUUAGUUAAAUAAAUAACAUUAUUAUGUCAUAAUAAAAUUAUUAAAUUAUUAAUAUUUUCUA